AAUCCUAAAUCUUAAAAAAAAUUCUUAAUAAUCCUAUAGCAGCUUAAAAAUUAAAUAAUAAAUAAUUAAACUAUUGAUUUUGAUCUAAAAUUUUCAUAUUUUAUAAAAACUAAAUUGACAACAAGUAAAAAUUUUUUGAAGAAGAUCUCAUAUACCAAAUAGAUGAUAAAUCCUAAAAUUUGCUUAGGUGUUGACUAGCCUCUUUUUCCAAUCUUGAUUCCAAUCUCUUCAGGCCAAAAUCUUUUAAUUACACUAUUGAAUACCUUUCAAAAUUCACAUAUAUAUUGGAAAUCAAGUCUACUACCCAC
rnacentral:lncRNA from 1 species